CAUGAUGUACAAUCCUUUUAAUGUAUUGUUGGAUGUGGUUUGCUAGUAUUUUGUUGAGGAUUUUUGCAUCGAUGUUCAUCAGUGAAAUUGGCCUGUAGUUUUCUUUUUUUGUGGUAUCUUUGUCUGGUUUUGGUACCAGGGUGAUGGUGGCCUCAUAGAAUGAGUUUGGGAGUAUCCCUUCCUCUGCAAUUUUUUGAAAUAGUUUCAGAAGGAGAGGUGUUAGCUCUUCUCUAAAUGUUUGAUAGAAUUCGCCUGUGAAGCCAUCUGGUCCUGGACUUUUGUUUGUUGGAAGUUUUUUAAUCACAGUUUCAAUUUCAGUUCUUGUGAUGGGUCCAUUCAUCUUUUCUAUUUCAUCUUGGUUUAGUCUUGGAAGAUUGUACUUUUCUAAGAAUUUGUCCAUUUCUUCUAGGUUUUCCAUUUUAUUGGCAUAUAGUUGCAUAUAGUAGUCUCUUAUGAUCCUUUGUAUUUCUGUGAUGUCCGUUGUUACUUCUCCUUUUUCAUUUCUAAUUUUAUUGAUUUGAGUCCUCUCUCUUUUUUGCUUGAUAAGUCUGGCUAGGGGUUUAUCAAUUUUGUUGAUCUUUUCAAAGAACCAGCUUUUCGUUUCAUUGAUCUUUUCUAUGGUUUUCUUUGUUUCUAUUUCAUUGAUUUCUGCUCUGAUCUUUAUGAUUUCUUUCCUUCUACUAACUUUAGGUCUUGUCUGUUCUUCUCUCUCGAGCUGCUUUAGAUGUAAAGUUAGCUUGUUUAUUUGAGCUUUUUCUUGUUUCCUGAGGUGGGCUUGUAUUGCUAUAAACUUUCCUCUUAGAACGGCUUUUGCUGCAUCCCAUAGGUUUUGGAGUGUCGUAUCUUCGUUGUCAUUUGCUGCUAGGUAUUUUUUAAUUUCCUCUUUGAUUUCUUCAGUGAUCCAUUGGUUGUUUAGUAGCAUGUUGUUGAGUCUCCACGUGUUUGUGUUUUUUGCAGUUUUUUUCUUGUUGUUGAUUUCCAGUCGUAUAGCAUUGUGGUCGGAAAAGAUGCUUGAUAUGAUUUCAAUUUUCUUAAAGUUACUGAGGUUGGAUUUGUAGCCCAGGAUAUGAUCAAUCUUAGAGAAUGUUCCAUGUGCACUUGAGAAGAAUGUGUAUUCUGUUGCUUUUGGAUGGAAUGUCCUAUAAAUAUCUAUUAAGUCCAUCUGGUUUAAUGCUUCAUUCAGGGCCUGUGUUUCCUUAUUGAUUUUCUGUCUGGUUGAUCUGUCCAUUGCUGUAAGUGGGGUGUUAAAGUCCCCCACUAUGAUUGUGUUAUUGUCGAUUUCUCCUUUUAAGGUUGUUAGCAGUUGCCUUAUAUACUGUGGUGAACCUGUGUUGGGUGCGUAGAUAUUUACAAUUGUUUUAACAUCUUCUUGGAUUGAUUCUUUGAUCAUUAUGUUAUGUCCUUCUUUGUCCCUGAAAAUAUUCUUCAUUUUAAAGUCUAUUUUGUCUGAUAUGAGUAUUGCUACUCCAGCUUUCUUUUGAUCCCCGUUUGCAUGAAAUAUUGUCUUCUAUCCUCUCACUUUCAAUUUGUAUGUGUCCCUAGAAGUGAAGUGGGUCUCUUGAAGACAGCAUAUAUAUGGGUCUUGUUUUUGUACCAAUUCAGCCACUCUAUGUCUUUUCGCUGGGACGUUUAGUCCAUUAACAUUGAAGGUAAUUAUUGGUAUGUAUAUUCUUAUUGCCAUUUUAUUAAUUACUUUGGAUUUGUUUUUGCUGCUCUUUUUCCUUUCCUUCUUCUCUUGUUCUUUUCUGCCUAGAGAAGUUCCUUUAGUAUUUGUUGUAAUGCUGGUUUAGAGUUGCUGAGUUCUCUCAGCUUUUGCUUAUCUGAGAAGGUUUUGAUUUCUCCUUCAGAUCUGAAUGAGAGCCCUGCUGGGUAGGUCUAGGUUGGAGGUUUUUUCCUUUCAUCAUGUUAAGUAUAUCAUGCCACUCCCUUCUGGCCUGCAGAGUUUCUGUUGAAAAAUCUGCCGAUAGCCUUAUCAGGGUUCCCUUGUAUGUUAUUUGUUUCUUUUUUGUAGCUGCUUUCAAGAUUUUCUCUUUGUCUUUAAUUUUGGUCAGUUUGAUUCAUAGGUGUCUUGGGGUGUUCCUCCUUGGGUUUAUUUUAUAUGGUACUUGUUGUGCUUCCUGGAUUUGAGUGAGUGAUUCUUUCCCCAUGUUAGGGAAGUUUUCGGGUAUUAUCUCUUGGAAUAUUUUUUCUGUCUCCUUCUCUCUCUCUUCUCCUUCUGAAACCCCUAUAAUACGGAUGUUGGUGCGUUUCACAUUGUCCCAGAGUUCUCUGAGACUCUCUUCAUUUGUUUUCAAUCUUUCUCCUCUUUUCUGUUCUGCAUCCAUAAUUUCCACUAAUUUGUCCUCCACCUUGCUUAUUCGUUCUUCUGCCUCCUGUAUUCUGCUGUUAGCUGCUUCUAGUGAAUUUUUUAUUUCAGUUAUUGUAUCUUGCAUCUCUUUUUGUUUAAGUUUUAUAUCUUGUAUCUCUUUGGUCAGUGUUUCCUGUAAGGUAUCCAUCUUUGCCUCCAGUUUAUUUCCAAUGGUUUGUAUCAUCUUCAGCAUCAACAGUUUGAAGUCUUUUUCCUGGAGGCUGAGAAUCUCCUCAUGGGUUAGCUGUUUUUCUGUGGUUUUUCCUUUCUCCCUCAUCUGAGUUAUAGUCUUCUGUCUUUUCACUUUUAUAGGUUUUUGGUGUGGUGACCUUCUUACAGAUAAUAGAGUUGUAGCCUCUCUUACUUCUGAUGUCUGCCCCCCUGUGGCUGAAGUCAGUAUGGGGGCUUGGUGUAGGCUUCCUGAUGGGAGGGCUGAUGCCUGCCCCCUGGUAGGAGGAGCCAACUCUAAUCCCUCUGGUGGUUGGGGCUUAGUCUCUGGAUGGGAUUAGAGGCAGCUGUGUGCCUGAGGGGUCUUUAGGCAGCCUGUUUACUGAGGGGCAGGGCUGUGAUCCCACCUGGGUUGUUGUUUGCCCUGGGGCUUCUCAGGGGCUGGCUGUUGGUUGGGGCCAGAUUUUCCCAAAAUGGCCACCUCCAGAGAAAGGCACUGCUGCUGGAUAUUCCCGAGAGCUUUGCUUUCAAUGUCCUUCCUUCCCAACAAGCCACAUUCAUCCCUGUUUUCCCAGGAUGUCCUCCAAGAACUGUGGUCAGGUUUGACCCAGAUUCCCUUGGAGAUUUUGCUUUGCCCUGGGACCCAGUGCACGUGAAAGUCUGUGUGCACCUUUUAAAAAUGGGG
rnacentral:lncRNA from 1 species